GCCUAAACAGAGGACGUAAACACACGAGCCGUCCUUACCGCACCGGUAAAACUACACUGGCAAGUGACAAAUGACGUCAAAGAGCACUGAAGUCAUGUUCUGAAGAUUCUGAAGAUUAGAUUACAUCUUAAUGCAUGUCCUUCAUGCCCGCACCCAAGCAUAAAAUAGGAAGAUCAGCUUUAAAUCAUCUCACUCGUAAAUGGAUUUCAAAUGACAGGAGUGUAGCCUUGCUAAAUUAGCAGUCAUUUGCAUUAGUUCUGACACACUCAUUAAAAAUGGUUCAAUAAUUUAAAGCCAAGCAAGGCUUGGCUUAACUGUCAAUGUGCACGUUAUAGCAGUGGUUCAGAUUCCAUUUCCACUUGUGAUGUCCAAAAUGACGUCAACAGUAAAAAUCCACAUUUCAGAGAUCUCUGUAUACAAGGACCAUUGAAAAUUUCCUCGUAUUAUUUGUUGAAAAUGACUGAGCUGCACUUCCCAAACAGAAUGCUCUUGCGUGACUAUGUCCUUAGCUGUGAUAUUUCAUAUCAGAAACUUCAGUCAUCUUUAGAGGACAAGAUACGACUUCCGGUUAAUCACAUUUAAUGUGGUAAUAUUAUCAAGCCUGUAUUAAUUGCAAAGUGACAUUUGAGGCACUGGUGGUAGGAGCUUGGAAUAGUGUGGCGGAGACAAGUUAUACCUAAGCAAUUGUAACUCGCGAAUAAAUGCAACAGAGUCUUGUGGAAGUACCAAGGGAGACCUGUGUUCCAGCUGAUGUCGCACAGCUUCAUGGAGAGGUGGCAUUUAGACUGAAUCUUCAAGUUUAAUUAGAUAUUGACAGACAAAAAUAAGGAGAGCUGAGCGUAAAGAGAGGUCACCUAAGUCAUGAAUAUACUAAAGAAAUUACCAGAAGCAGCCACUCUAGGGGACACAGUGGUGAACAGAAGGGCAUGGACAAAGUCAAGGGUUGCUAGCAGGAGCCUGUCCUGCACACUUGGCACACACUUCCUGUGAAGCUGCACGUUCAUUAUUUUAUAUUUAUUUGUAUAUUUCUUUACUUUCAUUUCCAUGAUUAUUUUAAUAUUUAAAAAAAAUUCGUUGACAAAUGUACUCAUGUCUAUGCUGAAAUCUAAGCAUUUUUAUCCUCCCUUGUCCCCUCUCCACCCCUUGCCUCCUGCCGAAGCUCUUCUCCCUAACAGGCUUCCACCAGUUUCAGUGGCCAUUGCCAUAGCCCACUGAGUUUCAAAUGUGGUCACUGGCAUGAGCAUGACAUGAAUAUAUGUGAGGCUACUAACUGGAUGCAGUCAACCUAUUGGUGAAUACAGCACUGAAGAAAAUGACCUCCCUCCUCCAGCACCUAUGAAUUGCCCAUAGUCCUUCUGGAAGGGGUGGAGCCGCAUGAGGCCCCUCCCCCAUACACAAUGAAAUGGUCACAGGAGCAUCAUCUGCCUGGAUGCUACUUCUGUACUCACACCCUGCCUUACCUGAAGGAGGCUCCGGACACCGUCCCUGAAGCAGUCUGCAGCCACUGCAGCAUAAAAAGCUUUGAUUUUGUUCUUUAUAAGCCAGGCCUGUUUUUUAGCCAUGCCGCUGUUCAUCUCUUUAACACACAGCUUGCGAGGUCCCUGUAGGACACAAGGAAAUAUUGGUUAGAAGCCCUGCUAUUAUACUUCACACUACUGUUACCAGGUGAUAAAACUACCAGUAAAACCCUGUUAGAUUAAGAGAUGGGACAGAGGCAAAGGCACCUCCUUAAAUGAAGUUUGUCCAGAACCUUGUUUUUGGAGAGGACCUGUACUGUUCACACGACUCAUGUUCACCCCCAAAUGCCCAGGUUUAAUAACACCUUAAAUAACUGCCUUGUGAAGAGUGGAAAGAAAAGCCGAGGGUGUGACAGCACACAGGGAAAACAGGAUGUGACCAAAGAGGCUCAAGACAAAUUCACAGCCAACCUGUGACUCAACAGUGAGAGCCGUGUUUACAGAUCCUAAAGAAAUCUCAGUUAGAUCCCAAUGUCAAGAAGCAGACAGAACUCUUGGGACCCCAAGCAUGCCUGCCCCAAGCCACAGAUCCCGACAGUUUUGAGGUGAACUCCUGUCCAAGCCGUUUCUUCUCUUUCCUGUUUCCAUGGGUAUCUUCUGUGCCACCUAACAUUACCCACUGUGAACAGAGAGAGAAAGCACUGCUUCCAGAUGAGGUGGCUCUUACCACGAAGACUUCGCAGCAGAUGCAGAGGCCACUAUUCUUCGUAAAGGCGUGGGUUAUAUCCAAGAGAGCGGGUCUAGUCAUGGGUCCGCCUGUUAAGACAAUGCACUGGGGUCUGAAAGCAAAGAAGACAUGAGAAUUGGCCCGUGCCGGAGGCUUGUGAGCCCAGAACCCCUCAAGGGAAAUAAAAUGCAUAGAAAACUAAGAGAAAUGAGACACCCCUUCCUCGAUUAUUUCUUGAAUUUCCCACCAGAAUUCCUGAGUUAUCUUGACUCUACAUCCUGUCAUCUUAGUAUUUUUCAUUUAAUUAAUCACAGCAAAAGUAGGAAGUAGGGAAAGGGUAGCCCUGUACCCGGGGUUCCCUUGUCUUCCCUUGGUGUGCAAUAUGUCACCCCAAAUCUCCCUCACUCGCUGAUAUUUUUAUUUAUCUGCCUUGCUAGUCCAUGUUGUGAGGCACCAUCCGAAAUAAUAAAUAACUAACGAAGAUCUAAGAUUAUAACUUCUCUGCAGGGGAUUCAUUACAUCAUGAAGCCCCAGAUUGAUCGUAGAUAAAACCAAUGAUUAAGGUGCACAAGGACCUGGGGGAUGUCCCUCUGAAGUCACCUCCUUCAGGCCUUUCUGUCUCUAGGCCUGGAAAAGGCCACAGCAGUGUGAGCAGCUGUGGCACCUGGAGGGCAGAGCUCAGAACAGAAGGAAAACACACUCAUUUCUGUCCUUGGUAACAGCGUGGAUUAUAGCCAAGCAAGCAGGCCUCUGCCGCUGUGAAAUGUGACUUUGCGUGUCUGAAAUGUGCCCACAGAAUUUGCAGAGACUCCGAUGCAUUUGAUUCCUCUAAGGAAAGACUCUUGUAAUGUGAAACACCAUGGGAUCCCGAAAGCCGACUUUACCUGAAGUUUUU